GACAGAGGUGCCGAGCGUUAGGCGGAAUCACUGGGCUUAAAGCGUGUGUAGGCGGACUUCUAAGUACCUUGUGAAAUCCCACGGCUUAACCGUGGAACUGCUUGGUAUACUGGUUGUCUUGGGCCAUCUAGGGGCUACCGGAACAAACGGUGGAGCGGUGAAAUGCGCAGAUAUCAGGAGGAACACCGGUGGCGAAGGCGGUUCUCUGGGCAUGUCCUGACGCUGAGGAGCGAAAGUGUGGGGAGCGAACAGG
rnacentral:rRNA from 1 species